UACGUAGGGGGCGAGCGUUGUCCGGAUUUAUUGGGCGUAAAGAGCGUGUAGGCGGCCAGGUAGGUCUGCUGUGAAAACUCGAGGCUCAACCUCGAGACGUCGGCGGAAACCAUCUGGCUAGAGUCCGGAAGAGGAGAGUGGAAUUCCUGGUGUAGCGGUGAAAUGCGCAGAUAUCAGGAAGAACACCCGUGGCGAAGGCGGCUCUCUGGACGGUACUGACGCUGAGACGCGAAAGCGUGGGGAGCGAACAGG
rnacentral:rRNA from 1 species